rnacentral:rRNA from 2 species
ACGGAAGGCAGCAGUGGGGAAUAUUGGACAAUGGGGGAAACCCUGAUCCAGCGACGCCGCGUGAGUGAAGAAGUAUUUCGGUAUGUAAAGCUCUAUCAGCAGGAAAGAAAAUGACGGUACCUGACUAAGAAGCCCCGGCUAACUACGUGCCAGCAGCCGCGGUAAUACGUAGGGGGCAAGCGUUAUCCGGAUUUACUGGGUGUAAAGGGAGCGUAGACGGUUUUGCAAGUCAGAAGUGAAAGCCCGGGGCCCAACCCCGGAACUGCUUUUGAAACUGUAGAACUGGAGUGCAGGAGAGGUAAGUGGAAUUCCUAGUGUAGCGGUGAAAUGCGUAGAUAUUAGGAGGAACACCAGUGGCGAAGGCGGCUUACUGGACUGUAACUGACGUUGAGGCUCGAAGGCGUGGGGAGCAAACAGGAUUAGAUACCCUGGUA